rnacentral:rRNA from 1 species
GCUGAAGAGAGGAGCUUGCUCCUUCUUGGAUGAGUUGCGAACGGGUGAGUAACGCGUAGGUAACCUGCCUUGUAGCGGGGGAUAACUAUUGGAAACGAUAGCUAAUACCGCAUAACAAUGGAUGACACAUGUCAUUUAUUUGAAAGGGGCAAUUGCUCCACUACAAGAUGGACCUGCGUUGUAUUAGCUAGUAGGUGAGGUAACGGCUCACCUAGGCGACGAUACAUAGCCGACCUGAGAGGGUGAUCGGCCACACUGGGACUGAGACACGGCCCAGACUCCUACGGGAGGCAGCAGUAGGGAAUCUUCGGCAAUGGGGGCAACCCUGACCGAGCAACGCCGCGUGAGUUAAGAAGGUUUUCGGAUCGUAAAGCUCUGUUGUAAGUCAAGAACGAGUGUUANAGUGGAAAGUUCACACUGUGACGGUAACUUACCAGAAAGGGACGGCUAACUACGUGCCAACAGCCGCGGUAAUACGUAGGUCCCGAGCGUUAUCCGGAUUUAUUGGGCGUAAAGCGAGCGCAGGCGGUUAGAUAAGUCUGAAGUUAAAGGCUGUGGCUUAACCAUAGUACGCUUUGGAAACUGUUUAACUUGAGUGCAGAAGGGGAGAGUGGAAUUCCAUGUGUAGCGGUGAAAUGCGUAGAUAUAUGGAGGAACACCGGUGGCGAAAGCGGCUCUCUGGUCUGUAACUGACGCUGAGGCUCGAAAGCGUGGGGAGCAAACAGGAUUAGAUACCCUGGUAGUCCACGCCGUAAACGAUGAGUGCUAGGUGUUGGGUCCUUUCCGGGACUCAGUGCCGCAGUAACGCAUU